rnacentral:rRNA from 1 species
AAUAGAUACCCAGGUAGUCCACGCCGUAAACGAUGAAUACUAGGUGUGGGAGGGUCCAACCUUCCGUGCCGUCGUUAACACAGUAAGUAUUCCGCCUGGGGAGUACGGUCGCAAGAUUAAAACUCAAAGGAAUUGACGGGGGCCCGCACAAGCAGCGGAGCAUGUGGUUUAAUUCGAAGCAACGCGAAGAACCUUACCUAGACUUGACAUCUCCUGAAUUACCCGUAACUGGGGAAGCUCUUCGGAGCAGGAAGACAGGUGGUGCAUGGUUGUCGUCAGCUCGUGUCGUGAGAUGUUGGGUUAAGUCCCGCAACGAGCGCAACCCUUAUUGUUAGUUGCUACCAUUUAGUUGAGCACUCUAGCGAGACUGCCGGGGUUAACUCGGAGGAAGGUGGGGAUGACGUCAAAUCAUCAUGCCCCUUAUGUCUAGGGCUACACACGUGCUACAAUGGCGAGUACAACAAGAUGCAAAACCGCGAGGUGGAGCAAAACUGUAAAACUCGUCCCAGUUCGGAUUGUAGGCUGAAACUCGCCUACAUGAAGCCGGU